AUACUUACCUGGACGGGGUCAAUUGGAGAUCAACAAGACCCAUGGCCUGGAUUAGUGACCACCAUUGCAGUUUGGAGGAGCACAAUUUCAUCAUCUCCUUAGAGGGAGAAUGAACGUCACAAUUUGUGAUAGAGGGGGUAUGUGUUCGCGCGGCCCCUAC